GACGAACGCUGGCGGCGUGCUUAACACAUGCAAGUCGAGCGGAGCGGCGAACGGGUGAGUAACGCGUGAGUAACUGCCCCCCUCCCUGGGAUAACAGUUGGAAACGGCAGCUAAUACCGGAUAGCGGGGGAUGACUAGGGUCCUAUCAGCUUGUUGGUGGGGUAGUGGCCUACCAAGGCGACGACGGGUAGCCGGCCUGGGAGGGGGACCGGCCACAAUGGGCUAAGAGACGGCCCAGACGCCAACGGGGGGCAGCGGUGGGGAGUAUUGCGCAAUGGGGGAAAGCCUAAUACAGCGGCGCCGGGGGCGUGAUGACGGCUUUCGGGUUGUAAACCGCUUUCAGCCAUGACGCGGUAGUGGCAGAAGAAGCACCGGCUAACUACGUGCCAGCAGCCGCGGUAAUAC
rnacentral:rRNA from 1 species